rnacentral:rRNA from 1 species
CCUACGGGAGGCAGCAGUGGGGAAUAUUGCGCAAUGGGCGAAAGCCUGACGCAGCGACGCCGCGUGAGGGAUGAAGGUCUUCGGAUCGUUAACCUCUGUCAGCAGGGAAGAACGGUCACUGUGCUAAUCAGCAGUGCAUUGACGGUACCUGCAAAGGAAGCACCGGCUAACUCCGUGCCAGCAGCCGCGGUAAUACGUAGGGUGCGAGCGUUAAUCGGAAUUACUGGGCUUAAAGCGCGCGUAGGCGGUAUGUCAAGUCAAGGGUGAAAUCCCCGGGCUCAACGUGGGAACUGCCUUUGAAACUGGCAAACUGGAGUGUGUGAGAGGAUAGUGGAAGUCCAGGUGUAGGAGUGAAAUCCGUAGAUAUCUGGAGGAACAUCAGUGGCGAAGGCGACUAUCUGGCACAUAACUGACACUGAGGAGCGAAAGCGUGGGGAGCAAACAGGAUUAGAUACCCCUGUAGUC